UACAUGAUUUAGGUGACGAAGAAGACGCAGAUGGUGAUAAUCAUGUGGUACCGUGGUCAUUGACGCCCCGAUGGUGAUUCCAAACUCCUCCUCAAAUCUUUAAUGCAAAUUCCUCAAAGAAAGAAGCAGAUAUCUCCAGAGUGGAUAAUGGGGAUGGCAACCUUUGCAACGACAUGUUAAGCGAAUUAUCAUUGUUGAAGGAAAGCAACAAAUUGAUGGAAAAUGAGCUGAAAGAGAUGCAAGAAAGAUACUCUGAAAUGAGUCUAAAGUUUGCAAAGGUAGAAGGUGAAAGACAAAAGUAGCAUAUUUGAAAUCGAAGGAUCCUUGAAAAAAGGAAUAUCAAUGACGAUGGGCUCUCAUAUAUGUUAGAAGUUUCUUGACCUGGAUAUUUUGUCCUUUUUAUGUACAACAAUGUGUCUAUAUUAUGGUAUAAAAUUGAGAAACAAAACUCAACUAUAGGUAGGAAGUUGCUUUUAUACGUAAAUAAGAACAAGAGUAUCUCGGAUACAUUAUUAUAAAUAUAUGUAGACCCAAAUCAAACAUGA